AGGAUUAACGCUGGCGGCGUGCCUAACACAUGCAAGUCGAACGAGGUAGCAAUACCUAGUGGCAGACGGGUGAGUAACGCGUGGUCAACCUACCGUUGAGUGGGGGAUAACUAGCCGAAAGGUUAGCUAAUACCGCAUACGAGUCUCGGGGGCAUCCCUGGGCCUUAAAAGGAGCAAUCCGCUCGAUGACGGGACCGCGUCCCAUUAGCUAGAUGGUGGGGUAAUGGCCUACCAUGGCUCCGAUGGGUAGCUGGUUUGAGAGAGCGACCAGCCACACUGGGACUGAGAAACGGCCCAGACUCCUACGGGAGGCAGCAGUGAGGAAUUUUCCGCAAUGGGCGAAAGCCUGACGGAGCGACGCCGCGUGUGGGAAGAAGGCCUUCGGGUCGUAACCACUGUCGAAGGGGACGAUAAUGACGGUACCCUUGGAGGAAGCCCCGGCUAACUACGCGCCAGCAGCCGC
rnacentral:rRNA from 1 species